AAGGCGCUUUAAUUCACAGGUUUAGUGGAUCCACACCACGAACACUGACUGUACUUAGUGCCAGAUAAAUCGUGAUCACUGAACCAUUGGUGUUGCUGUAAUUGCCUAGCCACACUUCACUGAUUUGUGACCCACACUU
ensembl:snoRNA snoRNA:Psi18S-110 snoRNA:Psi18S-110